rnacentral:rRNA from 2 species
UCGAGAAUCUUCGGCAAUGGGCGAAAGCCUGACCGAGCGACGCCGCGUGCGGGACGAAGGCCUUCGGGUUGUAAACCGCUGUCGGGAGGGAUGAAGUGCACGGGGGCUAUCCCCUGUGUUUGACAGAGCUCCGGAGGAAGCAUGGGCUAAGUUCGUGCCAGCAGCCGCGGUAAUACGAACUGUGCGAACGUUAUUCGGAAUCACUGGGCUUAAAGGGUGCGUAGGCGGCGCUGUAAGUCAGGUGUGAAAUCCCCCGGCUCAACCGGGGAAUGGCGCUUGAAACUGCAGUGCUUGAGUGAGAUAGGGGUGCAUGGAACUUCCGGUGGAGCGGUGAAAUGUGUAGAUAUCGGAAGGAACGCCGGCGGCGAAAGCGGUGCACUGGGCCUUGUCUGACGCUGAGGCACGAAAGCUAGGGUAGCGAACG